UUCACUAUAUUUGUAUUCUCCCAAAAAAAGUAAUAAACAAUGGUACUUCCAUGUACCAGGCACCAAGAAAUUUGCCAAUAGCCAACCAAAAUCGAGAAGCCAUCACCUUGAUAGUUACUAAUUAUUCAUUUUUAGUCAUUUAAAAUUAUAAUGUGUAAAAAUUUCAAAAUAGGUAUAUUUUUUUGCAUCAGUUGUUCAAAUUGGUCUUAUUAAUUUAUGGACAUCAAAAUAUUAUGAUUAUGAUAUUUGUUGUGAACUUUAUAAUCAAAUACGGAAAUAAUAAGCUAUUGUUGCUUGUUGGUUUUACUUUGACCGGAGCCCUUUAUGUCAUUCAGGUAACUACAAUAGAUGUACAGGACAAAUAUGUACAAAUACAGGUUUUAAUCGUUCAAUAUUAUGUGGUUUGAAAUCAUUCAAGAAAAACUCAAAUAAUAUAUGAAUACAGAGAUUACGUUAGUAACCAUGGAAACAAACCAUAUAUAGCCAUCAUAAAAUUGAGGAGUAAAACUGGUUCUCCGAGUCUGCGGCGUGUCAUGUCCGAUAAAAAUGGAAUACCCGACAAUACUAUCGACGAACGACGAAAUGAUUACGAUAUAAUAUUAUCUUACGAUUUGUCAUCGAAAUAAUAAUGCGUGUGAUCAAAUCCACAAAUACUGUAAUAAUUUUCCUUAGAAACAAUAAUAAUAAUCUAACGAAGAGAAAACGACUGGAAAAUCUUAAAAAACCGUAUUAUUCGCGAUUAAAACGCAGUAUUGCAGUUCUAUAAAAGCGCAUCGUGCAUCGAGCGUCGUUACGCAUACGGGAAGUAGGAAAAAUUUAAAUUUUACGAGAAAUCGCCCAAAUGACGUGAACCCAUUCCGAUCGGUCGGGAUUAGUCAUCGUUGCACACAAAUUCGAUAAUAUAAUAUUACAGUAAUAUCGGCGAAAAAGGUUUGAUUGUAUAAAAAAAAAAAAAAUCGUAAUUCUUCCGAUCU